AAGUAGAGGCCCGGCAGAGUGACCAAAUUGGGACGGGUUUGUGUGAAGAAGAAAUGCGCCGCAGGCGGCAAAUUUUUCAGGGUAUAAAUAGAGGCCCGGCAGGUAGACAAAAUUGCUGGUGAGGACCUUUUUUUUUUUUUUUUUUUUUUUUUUUUUUUUUUUUUUUGCUCUUCAUUUUCAUUUCGAGUGACAUCAAAAGUAGGUCUCACAUUUAUUCUUCUAAUCAAAUUUGAAUUUCAUUUAACAUUGAACUUCAAUUCCAAUUGCAAAUGAAAAUAAUUAACAAUUAUCCAUAUUUCCACAGAUACUUCAUCGAAUUUCUUCAUCAACACCAACAACACCAUUUUGAAGGAAGGCGAAGGAAGCAUUGAAGCAACUUAUUCAUGGCAAAGGUAAAAGAAGAAGCUUCUUCAUUCAUUCAUAUGCAUUUCUAUGGAUAAUACUCACUGUCUCAUUGUGAACUACUACAACUAAAUGAACGAGCGAGCUAGCUAACGAAUCCACAUACAUAUAUGUGUUGUGAAAAGAAGCUGUAACUGCAAUACUUCCUCCAAUUGUCAAUGCAUCGACAACAAAUAAUACAUUGGCUGGACUUGACAAGCAACCACGCAGACUACUAGUAGCCAAGGUAAGGCAAGGCAAGGCAAGGCAUUAGAGUUGAAGACUGACCAAUAGCAAUAGCAAUGGCAAUGGCAAUAGAAAUACCAACACUAAUACCAUUUAGUGGGAUCGAUUUGAACGGAUAUUCUAGUGCAUACAUUGAAGUUGCAGCUGAAAUUGGUGGUGAAGUUGAAGUUGAAAUUGAAGAAAGUAUUGAUGAGACAGCAAGGCAAGGCAACGAGAUGACAAAGGCGAAAGGCAAUUGGCAGUGGCCAUCAAUGGAAGAUGUAAGUGAAAAAGUGAUCGAAUUGUUACGUGAAGGAGUAGUUGUAGUAGAAUUGUUAUUGAUGUUGGUGUUGAUGUUGAUGUUGAUAUUGAUGUUGGUGUUAGCUAUCAAUGUAUAUGCAAUUGUAAAGAGCUGAUGAAGUGAGUGAGCGAGUGUUAGAGUUCCGACACGGUGCAAUAAUGGGAGGCCAUAUGGUGUUGAGCUUUCACGACUACAUGGCUUAUGGCCGUAGUCCGACUAUACCCCCAGAACCACUAAUUAUUCCCGCAACUCCCAACAUUUCGUACUGCUGCUGAAGACUUGGAUGAAUGAAUGCGCAUCUCUACAUCGUACAUCCGGAUUGCCACCUGAACACGCGGAAUUGUAGCCUUUGUUGGAGUGCUAAGUGCUUCGCCUCUGGUAUUUGAUACUCACUAUGUGGAUUAUGCGCCGCAGGCCGGCUAUGUAAGACUGUCUGCAUUGGAGGAAUUGCGCCGUAGGCCGGCUUGGGACGGGUAAGUGUCAAGAAAAAAUGCGCCGCAGGCGGCAAAUUUUUCAGGGUAUAAGUAGAGGCCCGGCAGAGUGACCAAAUUGGGACGGGUUUGUGUGAAGAAGAAAUGCGCCGCAGGCGGCAAAUUUUUCAGGGUAUAAAUAGAGGCCCGGCAGGUAGACAAAAUUGCUGGUGAGGACCUUUUUUUUUUUUUUUUUUUUUUUUUUUUUUUUUUUUUUGCUCUUCAUUUUCAUUUCGAGUGACAUCAAAAGUAGGUCUCACAUUUAUUCUUCUAAUCAAAUUUGAAUUUCAUUUAACAUUGAACUUCAAUUCCAAUUGCAAAUGAAAAUAAUUAACAAUUAUCCAUAUUUCCACAGAUACUUCAUCGAAUUUCUUCAUCAACACCAACAACACCAUUUUGAAGGAAGGCGAAGGAAGCAUUGAAGCAACUUAUUCAUGGCAAAGGUAAAAGAAGAAGCUUCUUCAUUCAUUCAUAUGCAUUUCUAUGGAUAAUACUCACUGUCUCAUUGUGAACUACUACAACUAAAUGAACGAGCGAGCUAGCUAACGAAUCCACAUACAUAUAUGUGUUGUGAAAAGAAGCUGUAACUGCAAUACUUCCUCCAAUUGUCAAUGCAUCGACAACAAAUAAUACAUUGGCUGGACUUGACAAGCAACCACGCAGACUACUAGUAGCCAAGGUAAGGCAAGGCAUUAGAGUUGAAGACUGACCAAUAGCAAUAGCAAUAGCAAUGGCAAUGGCAAUACCAACACUAAUACCAUUUAAUGGGAUCGAUUUGAACGGAUAUUCUAGUGCAUACAUUGAAGUUGCAGCUGAAAUUGGUGGUGAGGUUGAAGUUGAAAUUGAAGAAGAAAGUAUUGAUGAGACAGCAAGGCAACGAGAUGACAAAGGCGAAAGGCAAUUGGCAGUGGCCAUCAAUGGAAGAUGUAAGUGAAAAAGUGAUCGAAUUGUUACGUGAAGGAGUAGUUGUAGUAGAAUUGUUAUUGAUAUUGGUGUUGAUGUUGAUGUUGAUGUUGAUGUUGAUAUUGGUGUUGAUGUUGAUAUUGGUGUUAGCUAUCAAUCUGUAUGCAAGUGUGAAGAGCUGAUGAAGUGAGUGAGCGAGUGUUAGAGUUCCGACACGGUGCAAUAAUGGGAGGCCAUAUGGUGUUGAGCUUUCACGACUACAUGGCUUAUGGCCGUAGUCCGACUAUACCCCCAGAACCACUAAUUAUUCCCGCAACUCCCAACAUUUCGUACUGCUGCUGAAGACUUGGAUGAAUGAAUGCGCAUCUCUACAUCGUACAUCCGGAUUGCCACCUGAACACGCGGAAUUGUAGCCUUUGUUGGAGUGCUAAGUGCUUCGCCUCUGGUAUUUGAUACUCACUAUGUGGAUUAUGCGCCGCAGGCCGGCUAUGUAAGACUGUCUGCAUUGGAGGAAUUGCGCCGUAGGCCGGCUUGGGACGGGUAAGUGUCAAGAAAAAAUGCGCCGCAGGCGGCAAAUUUUUCAGGGUAUAAGUAGAGGCCCGGCAGAGUGACCAAAUUGGGACGGGUUUGUGUGAAGAAGAAAUGCGCCGCAGGCGGCAAAUUUUUCAGGGUAUAAAUAGAGGCCCGGCAGGUAGACAAAAUUGCUGGUGAGGACCUUUUUUUUUUUUUUUUUUUUUUUUUUUUUUUUUUUGCUCUUCAUUUUCAUUUCGAGUGACAUCAAAAGUAGGUCUCACAUUUAUUCUUCUAAUCAAAUUUGAAUUUCAUUUAACAUUGAACUUCAAUUCCAAUUGCAAAUGAAAAUAAUUAACAAUUAUCCAUAUUUCCACAGAUACUUCAUCGAAUUUCUUCAUCAACACCAACAACACCAUUUUGAAGGAAGGCGAAGGAAGCAUUGAAGCAACUUAUUCAUGGCAAAGGUAAAAGAAGAAGCUUCUUCAUUCAUUCAUAUGCAUUUCUAUGGAUAAUACUCACUGUCUCAUUGUGAACUACUACAACUAAAUGAACGAGCGAGCUAGCUAACGAAUCCACAUACAUAUAUGUGUUGUGAAAAGAAGCUGUAACUGCAAUACUUCCUCCAAUUGUCAAUGCAUCGACAACAAAUAAUACAUUGGCUGGACUUGACAAGCAACCACGCAGACUACUAGUAGCCAAGGUAAGGCAAGGCAUUAGAGUUGAAGACUGACCAAUAGCAAUAGCAAUAGCAAUGGCAAUGGCAAUACCAACACUAAUACCAUUUAAUGGGAUCGAUUUGAACGGAUAUUCUAGUGCAUACAUUGAAGUUGCAGCUGAAAUUGGUGGUGAGGUUGAAGUUGAAAUUGAAGAAGAAAGUAUUGAUGAGACAGCAAGGCAACGAGAUGACAAAGGCGAAAGGCAAUUGGCAGUGGCCAUCAAUGGAAGAUGUAAGUGAAAAAGUGAUCGAAUUGUUACGUGAAGGAGUAGUUGUAGUAGAAUUGUUAUUGAUAUUGGUGUUGAUGUUGAUGUUGAUGUUGAUGUUGAUAUUGGUGUUGAUGUUGAUAUUGGUGUUAGCUAUCAAUCUGUAUGCAAGUGUGAAGAGCUGAUGAAGUGAGUGAGCGAGUGUUAGAGUUCCGACACGGUGCAAUAAUGGGAGGCCAUAUGGUGUUGAGCUUUCACGACUACAUGGCUUAUGGCCGUAGUCCGACUAUACCCCCAGAACCACUAAUUAUUCCCGCAACUCCCAACAUUUCGUACUGCUGCUGAAGACUUGGAUGAAUGAAUGCGCAUCUCUACAUCGUACAUCCGGAUUGCCACCUGAACACGCGGAAUUGUAGCCUUUGUUGGAGUGCUAAGUGCUUCGCCUCUGGUAUUUGAUACUCACUAUGUGGAUUAUGCGCCGCAGGCCGGCUAUGUAAGACUGUCUGCAUUGGAGGAAUUGCGCCGUAGGCCGGCUUGGGACGGAUACUUCAUCGAAAUUCUUCAUCAACACCAACAACACCAUUUUGAAGGAAGGCGAAGGAAGCAUUGAAGCAACUUAUUCAUGGCAAAGGUGAAAGAAGCUUCUUCAUUCAUUCAUAUGCAUUUCUAUGGAUAAUACUCACUGUCUCAUUGUGAACUACUACAACUAAAUGAACGAGCGAGCUAGCUAACGAAUCCACAUACAUAUAUGUGUUGUGAAAAGAAGCUGUAACUGCAAUACUUCCACUUCCACCAAUUGUCAAUGCAUCGACAACAAAUAAUACAUUGGCUGGACUUGACAAGCAACCACGCAGACUACUAGUAGCCAAGGUAAGGCAAGGCAAGGCAAGGCAUUAGAGUUGAAGACUGACCAAUAGCAAUAGCAAUGGCAAUGGCAAUAGAAAUACCAACACUAAUACCAUUUAGUGGGAUCGAUUUGAACGGAUAUUCUAGUGCAUACAUUGAAGUUGCAGCUGAAAUUGGUGGUGAAGUUGAAGUUGAAAUUGAAGAAAGUAUUGAUGAGACAGCAAGGCAAGGCAACGAGAUGACAAAGGCGAAAGGCAAUUGGCAGUGGCCAUCAAUGGAAGAUGUAAGUGAAAAAGUGAUCGAAUUGUUACGUGAAGGAGUAGUUGUAGUAGAAUUGUUAUUGAUGUUGGUGUUGAUGUUGAUGUUGAUAUUGAUGUUGGUGUUAGCUAUCAAUGUAUAUGCAAUUGUAAAGAGCUGAUGAAGUGAGUGAGCGAGUGUUAGAGUUCCGACACGGUGCAAUAAUGGGAGGCCAUAUGGUGUUGAGCUUUCACGACUACAUGGCUUAUGGCCGUAGUCCGACUAUACCCCCAGAACCACUAAUUAUUCCCGCAACUCCCAACAUUUCGUACUGCUGCUGAAGACUUGGAUGAAUGAAUGCGCAUCUCUACAUCGUACAUCCGGAUUGCCACCUGAACACGCGGAAUUGUAGCCUUUGUUGGAGUGCUAAGUGCUUCGCCUCUGGUAUUUGAUACUCACUAUGUGGAUUAUGCGCCGCAGGCCGGCUAUGUAAGACUGUCUGCAUUGGAGGAAUUGCGCCGUAGGCCGGCUUGGGA